GAGAGUUCUUCAUCUGAGAAAAUGGAAAACUUCAUCUUUUUCUCCAUUUUUGAUCUUCAAUGUUUUCAUGGUAUCAAAGCGGACGAUCUUCGGACGCUUCUCCGUCAUUUGUUAUUAACUUUGUCAGAGUUGUAUUGAAGAUUUGGAUAUUUGUGAGAGAUUUUGUUGUAGACAAACUCUAUGUGUAUCGAGCGGUCAAUCGGAACUUUUACCGCUAUCUGAUAGUUCGAUCUUUCCUGGGUGGACGCUUUGGGUAGCUUUUCGACGUCCUCGACUUCUGGUAAGUUUCAGGUUUUAGGGUUUCUGCUGUUCGGAGCUAGGGUUUUCUCUGUCAAUCGAAGGCCGUUCUUCUCCGUUCGCGAAGAAGGCAGGU
rnacentral:lncRNA from 1 species